UUUCACAUAUACUGAUAUUUGACCCAAAACCCACCCAGCCAAUGGAAGCCUUCUGAUGAAAACCAUUUUAUGGAAGGUGCUUGGAAACCUCCUAGAGAUUACCAGUGUCUUGUAGACUUCAUGCUGCCCUAUACUAGAGGUCAUAACUGGGACACAUUGAUGGACUGAAAAGAAUUCAAGCACAGAUAAUAAUAAGGGCUGUACAGCAGGAUUUAUGAAGAGAAGUUAAGCAUCGAAUGUGCACAGUUUGUCUCUGACAGCCUGACAUGAGAGCAGUGUAAAUACAAAUGAAAAGGAAGAGGUGUCGUUUAACAUAAUAGAAAGAUGUUGUCAGCAAGGGCUUUCCCUGGUCCUUACUUCAAGUGAUUGAUUGGAGAUUGAAGAACAUCUAAAAUGCAUGCUUACUGCCUAUACACAGCUUGAUUACAAACCCAAAACACUCAAGCAGGAUUUAGGACUGAGAAGUGUGAGAAAUUGUGUGACUCCUUACUUUAAAUCAAGAAGGCAAUCAUCUGUCAAGGCAAUCUAUUUUUCCUGGUUUAUCUUCUAAGAAGAAAUGUACAGCUGAUAAAUUUAUAGAAGCUAACAUAAGCGGGUAAUUUUAAAGGAAACAUUCACCAUCUUCUAGGAAUCCUUUCUGCUCAAAUUUGUCUGGCUACCAAAUAUCCUACAGAAGGGCUAGUACUGACUGCUUUAAUUCUCCCUCCAGUCCUCCACAGCUAUGGAUUCUCAAUCCCUCUCUUCAGGUUAACCUCUACUUUAUUCUGAAGGUUGCUCUACUGGGGAGAGGAGCUAUGUUUGAUCAGUACAAGAACUUGGAAUCCACAUAUGUCCUAAAUGCUACAAAAGAAGCAGCAAUU